AGAAUGCUGGUGAAGAUGUCAUAAAACCAGUCUACACACAGAAGCAGGUUUUGGCAGGAAAAGAUGUUACACUGAUCUGCAACUACACUGGCACUGUUCGCAGUUUACAGUGGUACCGUCAGCAUCCCGGAUCCAAACCCAAUCACCUCAUUAUGUUCAUUGAGACCAAGCCUAAAUCAGAGCCCACUCUCCGUCUGAGUGCUGCGGCUGAUAAUGCCCUGGAGCCCACAGUAACAGGAAACACAACUUCACUGUGCAAAAACUGAAUGUGGAAUGACAUUCAGGAUGAUGCUCAGUUUAAAAACUUCAUAUAUAACCGUUAGAGAGACUAAUAAAUAAUAAUACAGUAAUAAAACACACUCAGUCAGCACGUAUGUACUACAUACGCAGCAAUAGUACUUAACAUUUUUCUAUGAAAAGUUACCAGCUCUGAAAGUUUUGUACAUUUAUAAACAUUUAACAGAGAGAUUCAAUGUGUUCCAAUCCCUGUUUAAAUACAAGAGACAUCAUGUGACUUCUAGAUACAGAAAAUGUAUUCUCAGCAGAACCAAUCUUUACCAAGAACAGUGACUAUGCUGUAUUCCAAAGAUGAUUCUCAGCAUACCCAAUGAAAGACCUCCUGAUACACUGUAUGCAGACUAUUAAAUGGUAAAGCUUUGUACCAAACUCUCCAUGAAGGAAGAACAUGGUGAACUUCUGAAGUAUGUGUGAAAGUAAUAUACUGUAUGAGUUGUGGGGGGUGGAGCUAGCUGAGGGGAAAGUCACUGCAAAACAAAACAACGGCACAAUGUCUCCUAAGACAGAAGAGGACUUUCAGUGAUCUUGAGAAAUCUUCACAAAAACGAUGUUGUUGCUCUGUCUGUUCAUACUUUUCAAUUACUUUGGUGAAACUACUGGGUAUUCAAUCAAACCGGACAAAAACACAACAGAGUUAAUAGAGGAUACAAACAUAACACUAUCAUGCAUUUAUGAAGGCUCAAUAGACAGUUUGCACUGGUACCAACAAACACCUGGAUCAAGACCAGAGUUUCUAAUAAUGAUUGAUGUGAUUGAUGAAGCUUCUGAAUAUUUGACAAAAGCCAAUCCACCUUUCCCACGUCUGUCAACCAAACUUGAUAAAGUACAGAAACGUGUUCAUCUGGAAAUCUCCUCUGCAGCAGUUACGGAUUCUGCUAUGUAUUACUGUGCUUUGAGGCCCACAGUAACAGGAAACACACGUACACUGUACAAAAACCCUUACUGUAUGUAG
rnacentral:lncRNA from 1 species